rnacentral:rRNA from 1 species
UGCCAGCCGCCGCGGUAAUACGAAGGGUGCAAGCGUUAAUCGGAAUUACUGGGCGUAAAGCGCGCGUAGGCGGCUUGUUAAGUCGGAUGUGAAAGCCCCGGGCUCAACCUGGGAAUUGCAUUCGAUACUGGCAGGCUUGAGUACGAGAGAGGUGAGUGGAAUUCCAGGUGUAGCGGUGAAGUGCGUAGAUAUCUGGAGGAACAUCAGUGGCGAAGGCGGCUCCCUGGCCAAAGACUGACGCUCAUGUGCGAAAGUGUGGGUAGCGAACAGGAUUAGAUA